GAGAGGAGCAGGAGAGGUGUAGGAGAGAGCAGGAGAGGUGCAGGAGAGGAGCAGGGGAGGUGCAGGAGAGGUGCAGGAGAGGAGCAGGAGAGGUGCAGGAGAGGAGCAGGAGAGGUGCAGGAGAGGUGCAGGAGAGGAGCAGGCGAGGUGCAGGCGAGGUGCAGGAGAGGUGCAGCAUUGUGAUUCACACAGACAGUGAAUUGAAAGGGCUGGUAAUGGAGAAAGUUGACGAUUUCUCGUAGCCCUUCUCAUGUAAUGAAGGUCCUCUCUCUUCAUCAUACAACCAGACUCACAGAUCAAUAUAUCGAUUACACUGUAAAUAACCCAAUAUACCGC
ensembl:lncRNA